GCCAGUCAAUUGAUUGUUUACCGCUGCGGCAAUAGAAAAGCUUUCUCCAGAUUCUGAAUUUGCUACCAUGUGUUGUUGCGUCUCCUCCUGAAUUAUCAAAGAAUACGCUUGUCUAACGUUAGGUAAUGGAUUCAUGAUGAGUAUGUUGGACCGGAUUACCUUGUUGGGAUCAUUGAGUCCCAUUAAAAAUUGCAUCAAUUUGUCAAUUUCUCGUUC
rnacentral:lncRNA from 1 species